rnacentral:rRNA from 1 species
GACGAACGCUGGCGGCGUGCUUAACACAUGCAAGUCGAACGGAAAGGCCCUGCUUUUGUGGGGUGCUCGAGUAGCGAACGGGUGAGUAACACGUGAGUAACCUGCCCUUGACUUUGGGAUAACUUCAGGAAACUGGGGCUAAUACCGGAUAGGAGCUCCUGCUGCAUGGUGGGGGUUGGAAAGUUUCGGCGGUUGGGGAUGGACUCGCGGCUUAUCAGCUUGUUGGUGGGGUAGUGGCUUACCAAGGCUUUGACGGGUAGCCGGCCUGAGAGGGUGACCGGCCACAUUGGGACUGAGAUACGGCCCAGACUCCUACGGGAGGCAGCAGUGGGGAAUGUUGCACAAUGGGCGGAAGCCUGAUGCAGCAACGCCGCGUGCGGGAUGACGGCCUUCGGGUUGUAAACCGCUUUCGCCUGUGACGAAGCGUGAGUGACGGUAAUGGGUAAAGAAGCACCGGCUAACUACGUG